CCAUCCAUCCAUCAUCCAUCCAUCAUCCAUCCAUCAUCCAUCCAUCCAUCCAUCCAUCCAUCCAUCCAUCCAUCCAUCCAUCCAUCUAUCCAUCCAUCCAUCCAUCUCCUGCUCCAUGGUGUGGAUUCAUCCCAGCCUUGUCUGGUUUUUUGGGAGCUGUGGGGUCACCCUGUGAGCGCUGUGGAAGGUUUGGGGUCAGGGCUUUUCUCCCCAUGCAAACCUUGAACUUUACUCAAAGGAGUAAAAGAAGAGAAGCUCGGGAUGAGCUUUUAACCUGAAUUUUCUUUGGGCUCCAAAACUCCAGGGGAGAAAUUUUGAAGAAAUGUCAGAAUUUUUGCUAAACCUUAAAAAUGUUGAGUAACUUUUACAGCGAGCUGAGACAGGGCUGUGAGUAACUUACACUGAGUUGUUUGUCCACCUCUGCAUCUCCUCUCUCUUCUCGUUACUCAAAGUAACCUGGGGAAUCUUAUGAGGAAAUUUGGGAUAAGGUUGGGCAGAGUCCAGCUCCUUCCCAUUCCUUUUUCCAAAGGGAUGCUGAGAGAUUUCCUCAGGGAUGAGGUGGUUCAGGAAUACGGCUUUCCAUGGGAAUGGCACAUCAUGGGUACCCAACAUGGACCCACUUCCACAAUCCUGGCCUGAUUUCUGAAGGUUUGGAGGUGCUUUGUGGUCCCUGUCAGUAGCGAGGACUGGGAGUGCUGGGAAGAUCCCAGAUCCAGAGGCCGGAUUUGUUUCUCCUUCCCAGUGGUGCUUGGGUGGAGAGUAGCUCAAACUCAACUGGGAGUUGGGAAUGGCUUGGGAAUGGGAUUGUCCCCAUCCCAGAGGUGGUGUCACCUUUGGGAAUGGGAUUGUCCCCGUCCCAGAGGUGGUGUCACCUUUGGGAAUGGGAUUGCCACCAUCCCAGGGGCAGUGUCACCUUUGGCCUGAGGUGUCACCUUUGCCUAAAAGCUGGGUGGAAUUCUGGGAGUCGCUGUCCUGAACGGGAUGUGCGGCAGGACUGGGAUUGGGGCGUGGCUGUGUCCACACUGAGGGUCACAAUGGGGCUGUCCCUGCCAGGGGACACGGCUGCAGGGUCCUGGCAGGGGGUGAGGAUGAGGGACAUCCCUGAGACAGCUCCCCCAGCUCUGUGAGGGGGCUCUGCCUCUUGACCCUGAUCUAAACCCUGGAAUUCCUUUGCCGUUGGUUUCAUGGAACAAUUUGGGUGGGAAGGGACCUUUUAAGGUCACCAAACCCAACCCCACAAGCUCCAUCUUCACCCCACGUUUGACCUAUCAGAGAAGACGACCAAGAGAAAUGAUAAUUAUUAUUUUAAGGAAGGCAUUUGCAUUGGAUUAAUUUGCAUCCAUCUCUCCUGUCUGCCCAGUCUGGGCUCUUCCUGGGAUCCAUCGGGAUGUGGCAAAGUCCCUCUCCACAAUCCGUAGCAGUGGGAGUAUCCCUGUCACCGACGUGUCUCCAGAGCAGAAAUAAUAACUGCGCGAAUUCCGUUGCAUCCCAUCCAAAAAAACCUCCAUCCUCCUCAGGAAAAAAAAAAAAGAAAAAAAGAAAGAAAGAAAAGGAAAA